UACGUAGGGGGCAAGCGUUGUCCGGAUUUAUUGGGCGUAAAGAGCGUGUAGGCGGCCAAGCAGGUCCGCUGUGAAAACUCGAGGCUCAACCUCGAGACGUCGGUGGAAACCGUUUGGCUAGAGUCCGGAAGAGGAGAGUGGAAUUCCCGGUGUAGCGGUGAAAUGCGCAGAUAUCGGGAAGAACACCGGUGGCGAAGGCGGCUCUCUGGGACGGUACUGACGCUGAGACGCGAAAGCGUGGGGAGCGAACAGG
rnacentral:rRNA from 1 species